GGGGUAUAGCUCAGUUGGAUAGAGCAACGGCCUUCUAAGCCGUGGGUCGCUGGUUCGAAUCCAGCUACUCCC
rnacentral:tRNA from 1 species